AUCUAGGGCCAUACCACCCUGAAUUCAUUCAAUCUCUGCGCUAUCUGGGAAGCUAUGCAGGGUCAGACCUGGUUAGUACUUGGAAGGGAGAAACUACUUAUCAGAUG
rnacentral:rRNA from 1 species